GAACAUACUUCUUAUUCCUUAUACUAUGGUAUUAUAAUAUAGUAAAAUUCUAUAUUAUAAGUUAUAACCUAACACUAAAGUAAAUCACGUUUAACACUUACGGUGGUAACGCACGUUAACAUUAAACACUUAAAAAAAUCACGUUGUAAAAAUUAAAAUUAUUUGGCUGCUAAUUUACAAGUAUUACAAAACCACUGUUUUGAUUUUACAUUCUCAUUUACUCUUGCGCAUAUAAAAUGUGACCAUUCCAAGCACCGAUUGCAGCAAAUGGAUUUAGUAGAAGCAUCUUCUGAACAAACAGGACAAACCCAAGUUGCAUGUUUUUUUUUGGCAUCAAUAAUUUGUUGGACAGCAGUCCAUCCAUCUGCUGUAAAAAAUUGCCUUAUUUCUCCUACAGCUAUAGUAUCAUCGAUUAUUGCACAUGGUACACUUUCUGAUUGUUUUAUUUUCAAUGGCAGUUUUUGAAAACAAACCAACCCAACUGAAUCCAAUUUUCUUUUUUUUGGAAUGCCAAUUGCUGUCUUAUCAUUACCUACAUAUUAUAUUGUGGUUUAAGCAUAGUUGUUGAAGGAAUUACCCUACAUACAUCUUGGUAAUACCUUCUAGUCCACCUAUCUGCACAUAAUUCUGGGCAGUAUAAUGAAAUAUCAUACAUUUUCCUCAAUCUCAAUAUGUGGUGGCACGGAAGACACAUACUGGUAAUAAAAGUGCACUCACAAGUCUUAGUAGUGACGUUUAAGACACCCUCUCCGGAAUUAACAAUGCCCGUCAUGUUAAUGUGCCAAUCCAGCUACAAAACUAGGAGUUUUUGAAAAACACUCGGUGGCUAUGUGGUCUCGUUCUGUCCGUAGCGUUACCAUUAACAUCUCUAGCCCUAUAAAUACAUAUACAAUUAUAACAUAUGCAUGAAGAUGACUGCGCGGCGGGUAUAGUUUGCUUAAGUAAUUUCCCUCGACAUAGACCUCAAACAAUGGAAAAUACAAAUCAAAAUUUGUGAAUCCGGAAAUUGCUGCUUGAAAACAUUCCUCUCAGUAAAAUCUUUGUCUGCCAUUAUACA